GAUGAACGCUGGCGGCGUGCCUAAUACAUGCAAGUCGAGCGAACAGACGAGGAGCUUGCUCCUCUGACGUUAGCGGCGGACGGGUGAGUAACACGUGGAUAACCUACCUAUAAGACUGGGAUAACUUCGGGAAACCGGAGCUAAUACCGGAUAAUAUAUUGAACCGCAUGGUUCAAUAGUGAAAGACGGUUUUGCUGUCACUUAUAGAUGGAUCCGCGCCGCAUUAGCUAGUUGGUAAGGUAACGGCUUACCAAGGCAACGAUGCGUAGCCGACCUGAGAGGGUGAUCGGCCACACUGGAACUGAGACACGGCCCAGACUCCUACGGGAGGCAGCAGUAGGGAAUCUUCCGCAAUGGACGAAAGCCUGACGGAGCAACGCCGCGUGAGUGAUGAAGGUCUUCGGAUCGUAAAACUCUGUUAUUAGGGAAGAACAAAUGUGUAAGUAACUAUGCACGUCUUGACGGUACCUAAUCAGAAAGCCACGGCUAACUACGUG
rnacentral:rRNA from 1 species